UACGUAGGCAGCAAGCGUUGUUCGGAGUUACUGGGCGUAAAGGGUGCGUAGGCGGCCUUGUAAGUAUGGUGUGAAAUCUCCCGGCUUAACUGGGAGGGUGCGCUAUAGACUGCGGGGCUAGAGGGUGGGAGAGGAAAGUGGAAUUCCUGGUGUAGCGGUGAAAUGCGUAGAUAUCAGGAGGAACACCGGUGGUGUAAACGGCUUUCUGGACCAUUUCUGACGCUGAGGCACGAAAGCGUGGGUAGCAAACAGG
rnacentral:rRNA from 1 species